rnacentral:lncRNA from 1 species
AGUGCAUCAAUAGAUAGGUUCAUAACCAAUUAUUUUUUCAAACAACUUCUAGCAAUUAGAUUUUGCCCCAAGCAUCCUUUCAACAGAUGUGUGGUGCCUCCACUGAAAAUCUUGAUUAGGUCCAACUAUUAACAUGGCAACACCAAGUGCAUCCAACAAACAGAUGUCCAAGCCCGAGUAUGGCUCGACCAACUGGAGCAUUGAUCUGAAGAUACAUCAUGAUGGUCAUAUGAUGGAUGAUAAUUCCAAUACA